rnacentral:rRNA from 1 species
UACGAAGGGGGCGAGCGUUGUUCGGAAUCACUGGGCGUAAAGCGUGCGUAGGCCGUUUUGAAAGUCAGGAGUGAAAUCCCAGGGCUUAACCCUGGAAUUGCUUUUGAAACUUCAAGACUUGAAUCCCGGAGAGGAUAGCGGAAUUUCCAGUGUAGCAGUGAAAUGCGUAGAUAUUGGAAGGAACACCAGUGGCGUAAGCGGCUAUCUGGACGGGUAUUGACGCUGAGGCACGAAAGCGUGGGGAUCAAACAGG